UGGUGAGUGACGGCCAGGGAGGCGGAGCCAUCUAUAAUAAAAAGAAACAAAGAGUCAGCCACAGCUGAGAGUAUAGGAAAGGAGUUGUCCGACACACCUCUCAGCAAAGUUCUAUACUGCUAAAGGUCCAGGCGGCAGGAAUAAAAAGAGAGUCAGAAGAGGAUCUGGAAAACACGGAAGACCAAUACUGGAAUCACAUUGGGAAAAAGAGAACAAAGUCAUACAUCCAAUCAGACUUACUGUAUUCCGAGAGAGUAAUGGGAUCAGAUAAUGUUCAUCUACAAAACAUAAAGAACAUCUUGUAACUUUUCCAGGAUGUUUUUAUAAAGAUGCAAAGUCUUUUGUAUCUAGUCUAUAACAGACGUAUAUAUCUAUCUAAAAGUUGCACAGUUAGAGAUGGAGCCUUCCACCCCAUCUCCCUCAAAAAAUGUUAAGAGUGUCUGAUGCCCGGACUUAGCCACACUUCACCCCCCAGAAUGGGCGUUCCCCGUUGGAAGGGAAGGUCCUGAACCAGAAGGGACAAAGAGAGAUGUGAGGAAGUGAAGGAGAGAGGAAAAGAAGAGGUAGAGAGAUGGAGUGAUGAGAGACAGUAAGGAGAAGGGAAAGACAGAGAUAGCUGGGAGGAAGAGGGUGAUAAAGUGAGAGAUGAGAGGCUAAGUGGUAGAGAGAGAUGGGAGGAAGAGCAAGAAUGGUUUAUUCAUUAUACUAAAUGUGAAGAAAAUAAGCAGAAAAUACAUUUUUACAUUGCUGAGCUAUUCAGUGACAAACUAUGUACUAAGUAUUACUCCAGUGCAAUGAUAGCUGCUCUGUAAAAUAGCUUUCCUGGAUCCCUAAAGAAUUACUCUUAACAAUAAGUUGACGUGUAGUGUAAGUGUGCAUGCGUCAACUUACUUGGUAAAAAACGAUUACCUUUAUUGUAUGAAUAGUAAAAUAAAUACAUAAAAUCUAAUUUCAUCCAAUAAAAUGUAAUACAUUUGUGCAACCAUGA